CUAAGUGGUAGGAGAGCGUUCUAUUUGCGUCGAAGGUAUACCGGUAAGGAGUGCUGGAGCGAAUAGAAGUGAGCAUGCAGGCAUGAGUAGCGAUAAUUAAUGUGAGAAUCAUUAACGCCGUAAACCCAAGGUUUCCUACGCGAUGCUCGUCAUCGUAGGGUUAGUCGGGUCCUAAGUCGAGUCCGAAAGGGGUAGACGAUGGCAAAUUGGUUAAUAUUCCAAUACCAACAUUAGUGUGCGAUGGAAGGACGCUUAGGGCUAAGGGGGCUAGCGGAUGGAAGUGCUAGUCUAAGGUCGUAGGAGGUUGUACAGGCAAAUCCGUAUAACAAUACUCCGAGAACUGAAAGGCUUUUUGAAGUCUUCGGAUGGAUAGAAGAACCCCUGAUGCCGUCGAGCCAAGAAAAGUUUCUAAGUUUAGCUAAUGUUGCCCGUACCGUAAACCGACACAGGUGGGUGGGAUGAGUAUUCUAAGGCGCGUGGAAGAACUCUCUUUAAGGAACUCUGCAAAAUAGCACCGUAUCUUCGGUAUAAGGUGUGGUUAGCUUUGUAUUAGGAUUUACUCCGAAAGCAAGGAAACUUACAACAAAGAGUCCCUCCCGACUGUUUACCAAAAACACAGCACUCUGCUAACUCGUAAGAGGAUGUAUAGGGUGUGACGCCUGCCCGGUGCUCGAAGGUUAAUUGAUGGGGUUAGCAUUAGCGAAGCUCUUGAUCGAAGCCCGAGUAAACGGCGGCCGUAACUAUAACGGUCCUAAGGUAGCGAAAUUCCUUGUCGGUUAAAUACCGACCUGCAUGAAUGGCGUAACGAGAUGGGAGCUGUCUCAAAGAGGGAUCCAGUGAAAUUGUAGUGGAGGUGAAAAUUCCUCCUACCCGCGGCAAGACGGAAAGACCCCGUGGACCUUUACUACAGCUUGACACUGCUACUUGGAUAAGAAUGUGCAGGAUAGGUGGGAGGCUUUGAGUAUAUGACGCCAGUUGUAUAUGAGCCAUUGUUGAGAUACCACUCUUUCUUAUUUGGGUAGCUAACCAGCUUGAGUUAUCCUCAAGUGGGACAAUGUCUGGUGGGUAGUUUGACUGGGGCGGUCGCCUCCCAAAUAAUAACGGAGGCUUACAAAGGUUGGCUCAGAACGGUUGGAAAUCGUUCGUAGAGUAUAAAGGUAUAAGCCAGCUUAACUGCAAGACAUACAAGUCAAGCAGAGACGAAAGUCGGUCUUAGUGAUCCGGUGGUUCUGUGUGGAAGGGCCAUCGCUCAAAGGAUAAAAGGUACCCCGGGGAUAACAGGCUGAUCUCCCCCAAGAGCUCACAUCGACGGGGAGGUUUGGCACCUCGAUGUCGGCUCAUCGCAUCCUGGGGCUGGAGCAGGUCCCAAGGGUAUGGCUGUUCGCCAUUUAAAGCGGUACGCGAGCUGGGUUCAGAACGUCGUGAGACAGUUCGGUCCCUAUCUGCCGUGGGCGUAAGAAGAUUGAAGAGAUUUGACCCUAGUACGAGAGGACCGGGUUGAACAAACCACUGGUGUAGCUGUUGUUCUGCCAAGAGCAUCGCAGCGUAGCUAAGUUUGGAAAGGAUAAACGCUGAAAGCAUCUAAGCGUGAAGCCAACUCUAAGAUGAAUCUUCUCUAAGCUCUCUAGAAGACUACUAGUUUGAUAGGCUGGGUGUGUAAUGGAUGAAAGUCCUUUAGCUGACCAGUACUAAUAGAGCGUUUGGCUUAUCUUUAAUAAAGCAU
rnacentral:rRNA from 1 species